AUGGAGGAGAUGCAAAAAUCGUUGCAAGAAAUGUUGGAGCAAGUUCUAUCGGAGAAAUUUGACAAGUUCUUCCCCGAAUUGAAGAUGCCGGGCGGCGAGGGCACCAGCCUUCGCGCGGGGGUCGGCGACUUCCGCAAGGACGCGGAUGCCGUGAAGCAUGAGCAGGUGGCAUCGCCCAUACCGCAAGAACACGCUCCGCCUCCGGCGAACAGGGCAGCGAGGUUCACUUAUGGCAGCCCUCCUGCUCCAUGGGACUCAACGGGGGCUAUGGCCGACGCCAUGGCUGUACAAGGGCUACUUGUCCCCGAUCCACAGGCGGACGCACUCAGCACGGCCACCAGCUGUUCGACGGGGUGUCUCACCCAAGUCGAGCCAGCAAACCAGCAGACCGUGGGGGACUCCGUGCAGGAGCAGCGGUCCGUGCUCAAGGAGAAGCUCGAGGUCAAGCUCACAUCGCUGCAGGCCAAGCUCAACCAGUUGGUGACCGACCUCCGCGCGCGAGUCGAUGGCCAUCGCCACGGAUCUGUACGCGGUCUAGCAAGCGCGUGA
rnacentral:rRNA from 1 species